CGUACGGGACAACAUUCCGAAGGAGUGCUAAUACCGGAUGUGAUCAUCUUGCCGCAUGGCAGGAUGAAGAAAGAUGGCCUCUACAAGUAAGCUAUCGCUAAAGGAUGGGCCUGCGUCUGAUUAGCUAGUUGGUAGUGUAACGGACUACCAAGGCGAUGAUCAGUAGCCGGUCUGAGAGGAUGAACGGCCACAUUGGGACUGAGACACGGCCCAA
rnacentral:rRNA from 1 species